AACCCAGUGAAGGGACCAAUGACAGGCUCCAUCCUUCGUGUUGCUCAAGGUGUGACUUCCGCUACCACAUCAACACGGUCCAAUUGAAUAGAAGGUAUGCAACCUGAUGUAUGAAUUUGUUUUUCUGAAGCUGACAGUCUUGGCUAGCCUUUUCAGCUGCAUAUAAGCCAACACAACCUUCAGCAAUAAUGUCUGGCAAGCAUAGAAUAGAGCCUAUUUGCCAAAUUAGCAUGAGAAGCAGCAUUCAAGGAGCAUCAACCAAGAUUGUUCACAACUCAGUGCAGGCACCAAUGACAGGCGCCAUUAUUUGCAUUGCUCAAGGUGUGACUUUUGCUUCCACAUCAACACAGUCCGAUUAAAUAGAAGUUGAGGAAAUCUGGACUGCGUGGCUUCCUUCUUUUGCUGGCAAGAACAGGAAGCUGGCAAUGGUGGGGGUGGCUGGUUUGACAAAGGAGAGAAACAGAAACCUGCUUCAAUGGGGAGUAAGACUAGUUGAGGAAGUGUCAAGAGAGAUUUUUGAAGCUGCCAAGGGAUGGAAUCCUCUGCGUCAACAGAUAGCUUGGAUCUGAGGAAAUGAGAGAUGCUUUUGUGUUCUACUUUAACUGCCUGGAGGAUUUGGAUCUUGCUGGGCGUUUGACACCGCACACUCUGGAGUCCAUUGUGCUACGUCUGCUUUAACCUGGGAGGGAGGAGAUGGAGGUUUGCUCAGUGGAGCUGCUGCUAUUGCUGGUUGCUCUAUCUCUUUUCUGCUAGAUGUAGUGCUGAUGUAAACUCUGGUUGUUAUGCUGGUGGAAUUCUGGUCGUUCUGUUUUUCUUUUAGAGCUGAAUGCUCAUUGAGACUUGUAGCAAAACUUCGGUUUCUCUAAUGGAAACAGGAGGGAGAUC